AAUUGCCUGGGGUGUACGUUAUCUUUUAUAUGUCCAACCUACUUUUUUAAAUAGGGAAUCUAAUGGUAUUUGGCUGUCGAGCCACCUUUGAGUGGAUGGCAAAAACAUAUCUAGGAUGCCCACCUGCUAGCUGCAGGUUUGGACAUAUUAAAGAGACGAUAUUAUGGGCGUUCA
rnacentral:other from 1 species